CUCCCGACCUCCGCGUGAGGCACGGCACCGUCGGAGCCUCCGGUAGAGGAGCAGGGGGAGCGGGGAGGGGUCCGACACGGCGGCAGCGUAAACGGAGCCCGGCGGAGGAGUGGGGGGAAGCGGAACGUGCGCAUGCGCCGAGGUCACAUCUCCCUCUCCCGUGCCGACGUUGCGCAUGCACAACGUUGCGGACUGAGGGCGGAAGGGUGGCUGGGCCUGUGCCAGGUCGUGGCCGCGGUUAGAUGUACCCAGGGCGGCUCUCCGAGGAACGAGGCAGAGUCGCUUGGUCCGAGGGAAGUAGGUGUCCUCCUUGCAGAAUAGCCAGUACUGCGUACCACCUGGAUCUGUCCGAAGGGGAGACAGCUGGAUAGUCUGUCCCAAAGGAGCACUGGGAAAUAGUCGCGUUGCUCAACAGUUUUGUCGUAAAUUUUGCGGUUUUAAAUGCGUCACUGUGGUCCCUUAUGUGUGAGCUGGAAACAAAUAGGAGCAUUCUGCUUGAAUAGAUAAAUUGUAUUUCUGUAGCAAAUACUUAACAUUUGUUUGUAUUUUGUCAAGCUUUGUCUGCCUCCUGAGAAUUCCAGAAGGCCAAUUCAUAGAAUCACAGGAUGGUUUGAGUUGGAAGGAGCUGUAUGGAUAAUCUCACUCUAAGCCUGUACCAUGUCAGAGACACCUUUCAUCAGAGCAGGUUGCUUAGAGCCCUGUCCAACCUGGCCUCCCAGGAAUGGAGCAUCCAUCCAGUUUCCCUGGGCAAUCUGUGUCAGUGCCUCAACACCCUCACAGUGCUCCAGUUCUGUGAUCACCUUUGUGGACCUCAUCUAGACUCACUCCAGGGGGUCCAUGCCUUUCUUGUGCUGAGGACCCCAGAGCUGGACGCAAAACUAGGGUCGACCUACCACACCAAGACAAUUACACCCUCAAAUAAAAAAAAAAAAAGAAAAUCCCCACUUGUGAAUUCUACCUUGCAAUGGAUUUCAGAAGGUCCAACUUCCAAUGAAAGAUACUAAACCUGAAACUAGCUUCAGUUUUAGCAUAAUUCCUCUGUGGGUAGUUAGAUAUCUCAAAAACAUGCACCCAAAUUACUUCCCCAUGUCAUAAUUCAAAAGCAUGCCUUUCCUUAAAAAGAGCUUUUCACUCUAACACAGAGUAUUAAAUAUUUUAGUUAAGCGUCUGGUUACUUUCUUAACAUUAGUUUAUUGUAGCUAAUUCUCAACACAGACAUUGUCCAAUCACCUUUGCCCCCUUCCCUUUAUAAAAAUCUAAAGAAGAGUAAAUAUUUGGAAAAAUAAAGAACUAUGCACAAACUGAAGAGACGGAGAGGAACCAACAACAAAAAAAGAAAUAUGCUUCAUGUAAUUAACAAAGUAAUACUCCUGGAAAGUUUUUAACUAGCUAAAGGUGAAUCUUUCCUCUGAAAUACCACUUUUAUUUUUGACAGAAUAGUAAUUCUUUUCCAGUAAAACAGAAAAUUGAACUCAAUAAUCUGUUGUUUUCUGAACAAAAAGUUAAGAAAUUAAGUUGCUUUUUCGUGUGUAUGAUCAUUCAUAAUACCUCUAAAAUAAGUUCAUAUGAACUAUGAAAAGAAGAAAAUAUAAACAAGUUAUAAGAUUAUAAAAAUAACAAAAGCUAGACCAUUCAGACAAAUUUCAAUUAAAAUCUAUUUGAAUAGAAAGAGCAAUUGUGGUUUCUGUAUAUUUUGCAUAAUAGAGAAAUGCUAUUAUAUCAAGAAAAAAGUAGCAGUUCAUACGGAAUAAACAAUUUAUUUUAAAAAGUUUAAUAAUUCAGCAAAAAGUAUACAAAGCUUUACAUUGUGCAACUAAAAAUUUCACCCAGAAGCAAUUACGUUAAAAGAGGUAGAGACCUCGCUGUAUACCCCAGCAUGUAUAGAUUAUCUUGCAACAAAUUGAGUUGUCUACUGUGUAGGUGAUACCUCAAUUGCUUUCUUUUUGUUUUAACAACUACUUGGAGGAUGACAAAAGAAAGUUCAAAAAAUACCCUGUUCCACGCAGCUUAAAGAGUUCCUGCAAAUUAAACAUUAUUUUUAAAAAUUAUCAAAAGCAUGAAAAAGAAUUCAAGAUUUUUUUGGUUUUGACUUCACUAUAUUUUCAUGGGGAAAUAUGAACUCAUAGAGGAAAUACCAAAAUAUAGGCAAUUUUAUGAGAUUUAAGAGUAGCAUCUGUUACAACACUAGUUGUUGGGGGUGGGUAGGUUUCUUUUUUUUUUUACUUAUAGAUUUUUUUUUCCCAUAAGUUGCUGAGAAACUAAUUAUUGGGUACUUAUGGGUAUUGAAGAAAAAAGUGGCCAGGGUUGGGAGAGGAGUGUAGCAUCUGGCUACACUUAUUUUUCUCUGGGAUGUUCUCUCCAAGGAGAGAGAUACCGCAAGAUUUGGGGCAGAUAAAGGAUGGGAUUGGGCGCAGCUGGUCUCACUCUCUCUGGGUUUCAAAGUA